rnacentral:sRNA from 1 species
GCCAGGUGCAGUGGCACACACCUGUAAUCUCAGUAGCUCAGGAGGCUGAGGCAGGAGGAUCAUGAGUUCAAAGCCAACCUUAGCAAAAGUGAGGUGCUAAGUAACUCAGUGAGAUCCUGUCUCUA